rnacentral:RNase_P_RNA from 1 species
GCCGCGGUGUGAGGAAAGUCCGGGCUUCACAGGGGAAUGGCAGCUGCUAACGGCAGCCGGGGGCGACCCUAGGGAAAGUGCAACAGAAAUAGACCGCCGCCCUCGGGCGGUAAGGAUGGAAAGGCGAGGUAAGAGCUCACCAGCGGUACGGCGACGCACCGGCUAUGUAAACCCUGCCAGAAGCAACACCCGACAGGAAAGCAAUACGCGCCCCGCGUGCUUUCAGGAGGUGGCGUGAGCCCCGCGGCGACGCGGGGACAAGAUAGAUCGUCGUUUAAUACAGAACCCGGCUUACGGACUGGU